rnacentral:rRNA from 1 species
UGGGGGAUAUUGCACAAUGGGCGAAAGCCUGAUGCAGCGACGCCGCGUGGGGGAUGAAGGCCUUCGGGUUGUAAACUUCUUUUGCUCUGAACAAGGCAUGCCUUUGGGGUGUGUUGAGUGUAGGGGUUGAUUAGCGCCGGCUAACUACGUGCCAGCAGCCGCGGUAAUACGUAGGGCGCGAGCGUUGUCCGGAAUUAUUGGGCGUAAAGGGCUUGUAGGUGGCUGGUUGCGUCUGUCGUGAAAGCUCAUGGCUUAACUGUGGGUUUGCGGUGGGUACGGGCUGGCUUGAGUGCAGUAGGGGAGGCUGGAAUUCCUGGUGUAGCGGUGGAAUGCGCAGAUAUCAGGAGGAAUACCGGUGGCGAAGGCGGGUCUCUGGGCUGUUACUGACGCUGAGGGGCGGAAGCGUGGGGAGCGAACAGG